rnacentral:rRNA from 1 species
GAUGAACGCUGGCGGCGUGCUUAACACAUGCAAGUCGAGCGGGCAAUUUAUCUAGCACUGAUUACUUCAAAUGGCUAUCGCCAGUGUAAUCAUGAAUUUCUACCUUUUAAUAAAGAAAAAAGAAAUUCAUGUACGCAAAUAGUGAUAACACAUUUUAGUGGAGUGAUGAGUGCUGGAUAAAUUGCUAGCGGCGGACGGGUGCGUAACACGUGGGUAACCUGCCCCUAUCACUGGGAUAACACACUGAAAAGUGUGCUAAUACCAGAUAACAUAAGCUUUUGGCAUCAUUAGCUUAUCAAAGAAUUUCGGAUAGGGAUGGGCCCGCGUCUGAUUAGCUAGUUGGUGAGGUAACGGCUCACCAAGGCAACGAUCAGUAGCCGACCUGAGAGGGUGAUCGGCCACACUGGAACUGAGACACGGUCCAGACUCCUACGGGAGGCAGCAGUGGGGAAU